rnacentral:misc_RNA from 1 species
AAGUCGUAACAAGGUAACCGUAGGUGAACCUGCGGUUGGAUCAUUACAAAAUGAUUGCUUGCAAGGUGGGUGCUAACACGCCUACUUUGCAGGUAAAAACCCUGUGCACCGUUAUGUCGAGUAGAGUGGUGCGGUUAACACUGCACUACCCUGCUUUGCAUGUAUAAACCCCUUAAAUUUGGCUGAGAUAAUCGUUUAAUUGUAAACAACUUUUGACAACGGAUCUCUUGGCUCUC